rnacentral:rRNA from 1 species
CCUACGGGAGGCUGCAGUGAGGAAUAUUGGUCAAUGGACGGAAGUCUGAACCAGCCAUGCCGCGUGCAGGAAGACGGCUCUAUGAGUUGUAAACUGCUUUUGUACAAGGGUAAACCUGAAUACGUGUAUUCAGCUGAAAGUACUGUACGAAUAAGGAUCGGCUAACUCCGUGCCAGCAGCCGCGGUAAUACGGAGGAUCCAAGCGUUAUCCGGAUUUAUUGGGUUUAAAGGGUGCGUAGGCGGAUUGAUAAGUUAGAGGUGAAAUGUCCGAGCUCAACUCGGGAACUGCCUCUAAUACUGUUGAUCUAGAGAGUAGAUGCGGUAGGCGGAAUGUAUGGUGUAGCGGGGAAAUGCUUAGAGAUCAUACAGAACACCGAUUGCGAAGGCAGCUUACCAAUCUAUAUCUGACGUUGAGGCACGAAAGCGUGGGGAGCAAACAGGAUUAGAUACCCCAGUAGUC